GGUUCGAUCCUGGCUCCAGUUGAACGCUGGCGGGAUCCCUUUGCGCAGUCGAGCAGCUGGCUUCGGUCUGGUGGCGAGUGGCCGGAUGGUGGUAAUCUUAUCCGGAACGUGCUGAAAUGGCGGGGGAUAACUACGCGAAAGCGUAGCUAAUACCACAUACGCCCUUCGGGGAAAAGCGGGGACCCAGACCUCGCACUAUUAAAGGCAGCCGAUAUCGGAUUAGCUAGUUGGUGGAGUAACGGCUCGCAGGCGGCGAUCCGUAGCUGGUUUGGCGAGAGACGACCAGCCACACUGGGACUGAGACACGGCCCAGACUCCUGCAGGAAGGCGGCGGUGAAAUUUUUGGCAAUGGGGAAGCCUGAUCCAGCCAUCCACGCGUGUCACGAUGAAGAAUAUUCGGUUCUCAAAGCCACUUUUGGCAGGAAAGAAACGGCACGGGAUAAUACCCCGUGCAACUGACGUACCUGCAGAAUAAGCACCGGCUAACUACGUGCCAGCAGCCGCGGUAAUACGUAGGAUGCAAGCGUUAAUCGGAAUUACUGGGCGUAAAGCGAUGCGCAGGCGGUUCGGAAAAGAAAGAUGUGAAAUCCCAGAGCUUAACUUUGGAACUGCAUUUUUAACUACCGAGCUAGAGUGUGUCAGGGGAGAAUUGGAAUUCGCGUGUAGCAGUGAAAUGCGUAGAUAUGCGGAGGAACACCGAUGGCGAAGGCAACCUCCUGGGAUAACACUGACGCUCAUGCGAAAGCGUGGGAGCAAACAGGAUUAGAUACCCUGGUAGUCCGCGCCCUAAACGGUAUCAGCUAGCUGUUGGGGCCUUCGGGCAGCAGUAGCGCAGCUAACGCGUCGAGGAUUGACCACCUGGGAGUACGGUCGCAAGAUUAAAACUCAAAGAAAUUGACGGGGACCCGCACAAGCGGUGGAUGAUGUGGAUUAAUUCGAUGCAACGCAAAAGGCCAUACCUACCUUGACAUGUCUGGAAUCCCGAAGAGAUUUGAAGUGCAGAGAACCGGAACACAGGUGCUGCAUGGCUGUCGUCAGCUCGUGUCGUGGUGUUGGGUUAAGUCACAACGAGCGCAACCCUUGUCAUUAGUUGCUACGAAGGGCACUCUAAUGAGACUGCAGUGACAAACCGGAGGAAGGUGGGGAUGACGUCAGAGUCAUGACCCAUAUGGGUAGGGCUUCACACAUCAUACAAUGGUCGGGACAGAGGUCGCCAACCCGCGAGGGCUGAUACGAAACCCGAUCAGCAGUCGGAUCGCAGUCUGCAACUCGACUGCGUGAAGUCGGAAUCGCUAGUAAUCGCGGAUCAGCAUGUCGCAGUGAAUACGUUCCGGGUCUUGUACACACCGCCCGUCACACCAUGGGAGUGGGUUUUACCAGAAAGUAGUUAGCCUAACCGUAAGGAGGGCGAUUACCACGGUAGGAUUCAUGACUGGGGUGAAGUCGUAACAAGGUAG
rnacentral:rRNA from 1 species